CCAAUAGCGUAUAUUAAAGUUGUUGCAGUUAAAAAGCUCGUAGUUGAAUUUCGGGAUUGACGUGACGGUCAUGCCUUAAGGGGUAUGAACUGUUGCUGUUGAUUUCUCACCUUCUGGAGAAACUUGAUGUCCUUUAUUGGGUGUCUUGCGGAUCCAGGACCUUUACCUUGAAAAAAUUAGAGUGUUUAAAGCAGGCAUUUUUGCUCGAAUACAUUAGCAUGGAAUAAUAGAAUAGGACGGAAUGGUUCUAUUUUGUUGGUUUCUAGGAUCACCGUAAUGAUUAAUAGGGAUAGUUGGAGGCAUUAGUAUUCAAUUGUCAGAGGUGAAAUUCUUGGAUUUAUUGAAGACUAACUACUGCGAAAGCAUUUGCCAAGGAUGUUUUCAUUAAUCAAGAACGAAAGUUAGGGGAUCGAAGACGAUCAGAUACCGUCGUAGUCUUAACCAUAAACUAUGCCGACUAGGAAUCAGACGAUGUUAAUUUUUUAAUGACUCGUUUGGCACCUUACG
rnacentral:misc_RNA from 1 species